rnacentral:rRNA from 1 species
UACAGGGGGUGCAAACGUUGCUCGGAAUUACUGGGCGUAAAGCGUGCGCAGGCGGUUUUGUAAGCCAGAUGUGAAAUCCCCGGGCUUAACCUGGGAAUGGCAUUUGGGACUGCAAGGCUGGAGUUUGGCAGAGGAGACUGGAAUUCCUGGUGUAGCAGUGAAAUGCGUAGAUAUCAGGAGGAAUACCGAUGGCGAAGGCAGGUCUCUGGGCUAUAACUGACGCUCAUGCACGAAAGCGUGGGGAGCAAACAGG